UCUGGUAACUGAGGGAGAGGGGUGGCGAUGGAUAAAGGCCUGGCCAUUUCUGCCAGACGUGGGACAGUAAUGGGCAAACUCAUUCUAGAAUUUCCUGCCAGAGUGGCCAAGGCUUUGGGGGGCUUGCCUCGUGGAUUGACUUCUUCCUCUCCCCAAUCUUCUUCUUCCCUUUUCCCUUCACAGGUGGUGAGCCCUGAUACCCCAAACUCUGGGUCCAGGUCUGCUUCUGGAGAAUCCAGUCUGCAACACAUAGUGUCUGGUAGACAGAGGAUGGGAACCACACUUUCCCCAAAGAGGCACUGCAGCUUGAAUAAAAAUGAGAUGGUGGCGAUUGUCUUGAUGACAUUUCCAGCACAUGAACCAGAAUAUCGUCACCUCUUCGGGGGGCAGGGGACGGGGCUGGCUGCUCAGCCUUGGACUCUCAGCCCUUCAGGCAGUGAUAAGUCAUCCCUCUGACAAUAGGUGUCUGAUUGGAGAGCCUACCCAGCUCCCGGGUGCUUGCCCCCCUUCCUUCCACCUCCCCAAAUGGGUAGUGUGUCCCCUCUUCCCACACCUGCUCUCUGCACACUGACACACUGUUCCCUGGCAGGCAGUGAUUGCGGACUCUCCAGCCACGUUUCCAGGCUCGUCACAAGGCAGCCAGGUGUUCAGGAGUAAGGAGAGGCAGACCACAUGCAGGGAGACUAAGACAGUCAGAAUCUCAGGAGUCCUCGUCUGUCUGCUUCACUUUGCAGAUGAGAAAUGAGAGGCUUGCGGGCCCAGAGCCAUACAACUCAUUAGUGGCUGAGGCAAGAACGGGAGCUAGGUUUCCUGCGCUCAGGACCAGUCACUCUCUGAUUCGUAUUUUCUUUCCCUACUUGUUCCUAGCAGAAUGAUGGAUAGACAUUUUAACACUUAGACUGCUUUACAAGACUUUGAACACCCAAGAAAAUACUCAAGGGAAAUGAAAGCUUGGGAUGUCAUCUCUUCAGUGAAGCCCUCCACCUUCAGCACAGCAAGGGACCAGGCUAAAACAUUUCAACGAGGACUCCUCAGCAGCUCCGACCAGUGAGAAAUAAAAAGUAACAUGAGACCAGGAAAGAAGAGAUGCACAAAGUUCAGGUCAUUCGGUUUGACCCCUAUGACAUGCCUUCCUCAGAGCACUUGGCCUGUUUCACGGGGUUCAGUGUCCAAGCUGUUUCUGCUCUGGGCUCGUUGACUCCCCUAGAGCUGCGAACCCAGUGCUACGGCAGACCUUCCAGCCUGUUCCGAGCUCUGCACCCAGCCUCCCCGCCCGCCAUUGCAAACACCGGGCACGUAGCAGGCGCUGAGUGAACACCGAGCCAGCACUGAGCCGGACUAAACUAUGGUACGGUCACAUAGGCAGAGGGAUUGAGAGAGAACAGGCCAUGGGAAAUAAUCAACAAGAUGACGGCACCCUCCUCGAACCCAGGCCCUUCAAAGAACGCCUCCUCGCCCGGAACAGGAAGGGCGUCGGUGUGAGAGCGAGCGGUCGGCAGCGCCCAGCUCGGCACUCACACUCUGCAACUCCUUCGUCCUCCCGUGGCCAUCAGCCAAAGACCUGGAGCAUGUCUGUGCCGCCGGCGCGAGUGGGUUGGCAUGAGGGCGCAAGAAACUCUGUAUAACCUAAGAAGAGACAAGGACAGGCACUCGGAUUUUUUCUUUUAAUUAUUUACCAGAUAAAAAAGAAAAAAUAGUGAUUGUUUCUCUUCACCCCCAACAUU